AACCGAGUGUGAUCGUCUGGGCGGUGUGUUCACUCUGCGGGGAUGAUGGCCAGAGGAAGGAUGAUACACAGACGACAGCUUGCAGAAGAUGGGAGCGUUCUACCUGUGAGCCUGGUCGAGACUAUAUUUUAUGGGUACACAUGCAUGGAUACACAUACAUGGAUUCCCUACAAGGACCCUGCGCAUCAAAAGCAAUCUAUCGUCAAUGUUAAGUAGGGAGAUCAAAUGAAAGGAAGAUAUGGCAGGUGUACACCAUAUUUUCUUUCAUUUAACCUCUGCAUGUUUCCCAGUCAAUAAAUAUUUUUAUUCAUUUU